AGAGUUUGAUCAUGGCUCAGAACGAACGCUGGCGGCGUGCUUAACACAUGCAAGUCGAACGCGAAAGGGACUUCGGUCCUGAGUAAAGUGGCGCACGGGUGAGUAACGCGUAGAUAACCUGUCUUCGUGUCUGGAAUAAUACGCCGAAAGGGGUACUAAUACCGGAUAUUCUUGCUUUAUAUAAGUUUUGCAAGCAAAGGUGGCCUCUGACAUAAGCUACUGCAUGAAGAGGGGUCUGCGUACCAUUAGCUAGUAGGUGGGGUAAAGGCCUACCUAGGCAACGAUGGUUAGCGGGUCUGAGAGGAUGAUCCGCCACACUGGCACUGGAACACGGGCCAGACUCCUACGGGAGGCAGCAGUGAGGAAUAUUGCGCAAUGGGGGCAACCCUGACGCAGCGACGCCGCGUGAGUGAGGAAGGCCUUCGGGUCGUAAAGCUCUGUCAAAGGGAAAGAAAUGUAUAAUGGCUAAUACCUGUUAUAUUUGACGGUACCCUUAAAGGAAGCACCGGCUAACUCCGUGCCAGCAGCCGCGGUAAUACGGAGGGUGCAAGCGUUGUUCGGAAUUACUGGGCGUAAAGGGCGCGUAGGCGGUUUGAUAAGUCAGAUGUGAAAGCCCACGGCUUAACUGUGGAAGUGCAUUUGAAACUGUCAGACUUGAGUACCAGAGGGGAAAGUGGAAUUCCCGGUGUAGAGGUGAAAUUCGUAGAUAUCGGGAGGAAUACCGGUGGCGAAGGCGACUUUCUGGCUGGAUACUGACGCUGAGGCGCGAAAGCGUGGGGAGCAAACAGGAUUAGAUACCCUGGUAGUCC
rnacentral:rRNA from 1 species